UGGGCAGAGCAGAGCAAAGUUAAUUUGGGAUCAGCUCCAGAUGUGUGGGCUGAGCCUUGCUGUUCAUUAUUGGAAAGGCAUUGACAGUGCUAACGAAUGUCUGGUGUGAAUAUCCUUCUAUAAACACCAGGGCCCUCAAGGUGCCACCCAUUGAGUCCCUGUGAAGGAUUAAUGAGGACCCUGGAAAGGAGAGAAAAACCCUAUGGAGGCUUGGCCCACACACAGUAGAGGAUGUACCUUCUUGGGAGAGGAACCUCUUCCUGCUGGAUCCUCCUGUUUCCUUGAGGCCUUCUGUGCCCGAUGACAACAUUUAUUUCUGCUGCACAAAGAAUUGGAGACAGCUGUGAUGGUGGGGUAAAGGCAAAUCAUGUGAAGGAUGGACAACUGCAAUCUGGUCAGAAAUUGAGGCAAGUUGGUUUCUUGAUGAAUUCCUUGGGAUUUUCUCUGUGCAAGAAGGAACAUGUCUUCUGGUAAUGAGAACAAUUUUACCCCUUCUCCUCCAAAGAGGCAGCAGUGAGGAGCUGGGUAAGGCUGCAGCCGUUUCCCUCCUGUGACCCCAAUUUUGGACCAGAGAUGUGGACCAGCCGUUCUACUUCCCUGCUGAGCUUCUUGCGUGCUCUGCCUUUUGGACAAAUCCCUCUGCUUCUCUAUACCCCUGGCUCUUCAUGCGUUAGAGGAGGAUGAUGAAUGUCUCCUUCUGCUGUCACCGUGAGGGUUGGAUAACACGAGAGAUGGUAACUGUUUCUUAAACUGCAGAGCAAUUACAUUUUAAUUGAUUUAUAAUUUGUUAGACUGCUUCUUCUGAAGUUUGCUGAGCUAAAAUGUUUUGCAGAGCACAUUUUUAAGAGGGUCACUGCAGCUGUUGCUUUGUUUGAGCCUCAAGAAUCUGCUCUGCACAUGACCUCUCCCUGGUCUGGGCUUGGCUCUGGCAUGUCCCUGCCGUGUGGUGCUGCCUUGGCCCUUGGCUAACAGGAGGAGGUACGCUGAGGGCAGUGUGGGAUGGGGACCACUGCCAAAGCCAUCUGCUCCCAGAAGUCAGGGGCCACAGACUCUAAAAUCUGCUUCUUAUUUUUUGAGCUAAGAAGUUUCAGAAAAUAAGCUUCUCUCUUUUUUGAUGUGAUGCCUGAAGGAGAAAUAAUAAUAAAACAAUAUGGGAGGGGGGAAGGUUAUCUGCUACGUGAUAUUCUCCCUGCUCUUGCUGCUUCUAUUCCUAGAAAAGAGAAAUUGAAAACUGCAGGGAAGUGCUGGCAGAGGACCAGCCUGUUGGGUUUGUUCCUGAUCUGCGUGGCACAGAUUUCUCUCCUGGAGGAGGAAGGCAACACCAGCCUGCCGCUGUCUUCAGACAGCAUGGAAGGAGGAUAGUGACAUUUAUUAGGUGCCCGUGGCAGGUGGGGACCAUGCACAACACCUCCCAGAAAGCUGCACUAAGUCCUGAGCAGUGCAGUGAUGACCGAGGCACUGAGGCCCACAUGGGACAUCCGUGUAUCUCACUUUAUCAAACGCAUCUUCCUGAUCUGGAAGUUACAAAAGAAGCCCAAAUCCCAGGCUCCAAGUUCCCAGCCCCUUCCCCGAGACCACAGCUGGGCAAAGCCUUCAGGACCCUCACAGGGCAUCCCUCAGGCUUUGGAGCUGGUGAUGUCCACAGAGAGGAUACUGUCUGUGCUGGGCAGCUCGAAUUACUGCAAGGAAUGCAGGGAGGAGGAGAAGUGUGCAUGGGCUCCCUGGUCUGGAGGGUUCAGUCUGUCAUGGUUGGCCCCAGGGUUUUGGCCUAUGGAGGCUACACAUGGUGCAGCAAAGCUAUUCACCUCAUGGGGGAGCCAGAGAGAGAGGCGGGGCUGGGGACUGCGAUCCCAAGGGACACACAGUGAGCAGACACUGCUACUUCCCAAGAGUGCCACACUGGGCACCACAUGUCCAACACAUGGGCCUUCAGGAGCACUCCUAUCCAAGCUUUAGCACUAGUGACAUCUUCAAUUCUCCCCUGAAGACCCAGCUUUCAGAGAAGGAAGACAAGGCUAUGCUGAAGAUUCAGUGGUCUUCUUUCCUGUGAGGAUCACUGCAGCCACAACGUAGAGGCUUUCCUCUCCUCUUCCUAGUCUCAGGAGAACGGAAGAGGAAGUGCUUGGGAGUCUGUCAAAGGCCCCACCUCACCCAAAACAGUCUGAGGAAGAGAGGUCCUUUUCCCUUCCCAGGGCAG